UCACUCACUCACCUUCCCUCUCACUCACCAGCUGUGUCUCUCUCACUCAUCCUCCCUCUCACUCACCCGAUCUGCCUCUCUCAAUCACCCACUAGCAAGCUGUUUCUCUCAGGCUGUCACUCACCCACGAAACUUGUUGUCACGCCACGCCCAUCGUUGACCAGCCAUCAUCGCUGUCACGCCCCACCCAUCGCCGACCAGCCCAUCACCGAUCACGUUGCCGACCAGCCUUACUUGACGGUGUGCUUGACGAUUUUGGACCUUUUUCACCUACCUAUGUAAUUAAAUUUAGCAUGUUGAG
rnacentral:lncRNA from 1 species